CAUUUCUGUCUUCCCACGAUUCCAGGCCAUCUGGGACGGAUACCAGAUGCAUCAUAUCAGGCGCAAGGCAAGUUCCAUUAGGGGAAGUACAUGACCUUGUGCUGGAUAAGGUAUAGCUAGUACAUGUGGAAUGCCCAUAUUGUUUCUUGAACACUAUACUACCACUAUUAUGUGUCCCUAUUUAUAUGUUAUAAUUCAUCUUUUUUUGUAAUUAGGCAUAUCAAAUGUCUAAUGACCAAUAUGUGGUCAAGUUUUCCUGAGCCUGAGGGAGGCAAUCUACUAUGCUUUUGUUU